ACUGCUGCUGGGGCUGGGCUCGCCAGUCUUGGGGACAGUGUCAGCCUGUGUGCCAACCACGAUGCAAACAUGGUGAAUGUAUCGGGCCAAACAAGUGCAAGUGUCAUCCUGGUUAUGCUGGAAAAACCUGUAAUCAAGAUCUAAAUGAGUGUGGCCUGAAGCCCCGGCCCUGUAAGCACAGAUGCAUGAACACUUACGGCAGCUACAAGUGCUACUGUCUCAACGGAUAUAUGCUCAUGCCGGAUGGUUCCUGCUCAAG
rnacentral:lncRNA from 1 species